AUCCCAUUCAGCUGGUAGCUAAGCUUGGAACCAGUUGGCUUGAGCAACUCGACACAUGUGAUGCAAUUUGGCAACAGGUGUCCUUUCUUGGGUCAAGAUUGAUAGUGAUUAGCGUUUUAGUGUUAGAAACCUUUUUAGAGUUUAAACUGUAAUUUAUUAAGAAUUAAAUGAGACUAAAAGGUUCUAUAUUAUCCAUAGAAAAGAGCAUGAGAAAAAGAAACAAAAAAAAAAGAAAAAGAGAGAGAAAGUGAAAUAUACGAAGAGAUGGGGCCAAGCAGUAAUAAACGAGACAAAUCCUAGCCAUGGGAGGCAAUGACAAAAUCAUUGACUAUCGGAAAAAUCCUGCAUAAAGUCAAAACUAUGGACCAUGAGCAACUCUUAACUCUUGGCAAAGAGCAAAUCCUGGGUGGAGGAGAUAAACGUGUGGAGAGCCUACUGAUGAACGGGAAAGAGAGCAUGUAAUGGGUAGUGUUUUUUUUUUUUUUUAAUAAAAAUUUUGUUGAUAUAAUGAUACAAUAAGCAAUUAUAGAGGAGAAGGCCGUGAUUAUCACGGAGACCGGUUCACUUUAUUUUUAUUGAGGUGAAGAGUUGGAGAUUGUAAAGAAUGAAGGUUGAGAGCUGAAGAAAGAAAACAUUGAAGAUUUCAAAUAUUUUAGGGAGGUGGAUGUAUAAUGAUAUGAACAAGAGGGACAAUGAUCAUGUAUCGAAAUCCAUUUUUUUUUUCUGUAAAGGACAUCUAAAUCAUCUAUUUGACUCUUUUUUUUUUUUCUUGUAAAUGAACUCAAUUUUAUCAACAACAGAAACGAAAUCAAUUUAAUAACAA